AUGAAGGGCGGCGGAGCCAUCCGGAGCGGUGGCGGGGGCGGCGGCGGGCUGAUGCGGACGCGGCUGCGGCUCCCCGUGGUGCUCCUCUCCUGCUCCCUCUUCUUCCUCGCCGGCUUCUUCGGCUCCCUCCUCUUCACCCAGGGGGAGGAUGACGUGGAGCGGCCGCUGCGGAGGGAGCGGCUCAUGGAGGCGGUCUGGCCGGAGAUGGCGUACGGGGAGUCCGGCGAGCCCGCGCCCUCCUUGAUCCCUUACCAGGUCACGCCUUGUCCCGAUUCCCUUCGUCGCAUUGCCAUUUUGUUCUUCGGGGAUUCAGUUUAG
rnacentral:rRNA from 1 species